rnacentral:rRNA from 1 species
AGUGAACGCUGGCGGUAGGCCUAACACAUGCAAGUCGAACGGCAGCACAGUAAGAGCUUGCUCUUACGGGUGGCGAGUGGCGGACGGGUGAGGAAUACAUCGGAAUCUACUUUUUCGUGGGGGAUAACGUAGGGAAACUUACGCUAAUACCGCAUACGACCUACGGGUGAAAGCAGUGGAUCUUCGGACCUUGCGCGAUUGAAUGAGCCGAUGUCGGAUUAGCUAGUUGGCGGGGUAAAGGCCCACCAAGGCGACGAUCCGUAGCCGGUCUGAGAGGAUGAUCAGCCACACUGGAACUGAGACACGGUCCAGACUCCUACGGGAGGCAGCAGUGGGGAAUAUUGGACAAUGGGCGCAGGCCUGAUCCAGCCAUACCGCGUGGGUGAAGAAGGCCUUCGGGUUGUAAAGCCCUUUUGUUGGGAAAGAAAAGCAGCAGGUUAAUACCCCGCUGUUCUGACGGUACCCAAAGAAUAAGCACCGGCUAACUUCGUG